UAAAUGACAGGGUGACUGAAGGAGACAAAGAAAGGAAGCAAACGGUCAACCCGGUUGGUACCUCCCUCUCUAAUUUCUCUGAUUCCUUACUCGUUACUCUCGGAAAUACACAGACAGCACAGCAGGAGAAUCCCUCUUCCUCUGUGUCUCCCAGUGUAUCUUAUACACACAGAGAUAUAUCUGCUUGGUGGGCAACCAUCAAGAAGACAUCGUCAAGUCACAUUCUUGCAUCUGUUUCUUGUGGGGUGAUUAAACUCCAACAGCUUAGAGAAACGGAGAGAGAUGAGGCCAAAUUGGGAGUUAAGGAAUUGCUGUAACCAUGAGCAAGUAGUCUUUCUUGUCACUGUUUCUGUGUGCGCCGUUGUUAUUCUUGCGUUAUGGAGAACAGUGUUGCUGAGACCAUUCAAGCUUGUGACAGUAUUCCUUCAUGAAGCAAGCCAUGCCAUUGCCUGUAAACUAACAUGUGGCCAUGUUGAAGGAAUUCAGGUUCAUGCAGAUGAAGGUGGAACCACUCAAACACGUGGUGGCAUAUACUGGUUAAUCUUGCCUGCUGGAUAUCUCGGUUCAUCCUUCUGGGGGAUGGUUUUGAUACUUGCAUCCACAAAUCUUCUUACUGCCAGAAUAGCUGCAGGAUGUUUUAUUGCUUCUCUACUUGUUGUGCUCUUGGUAGCUAAAAAUUGGACUCUUCGAGGACUUUGCAUUGGAUUUGUUCUUUUCCUUGGGGUGGUUUGGGUCCUGCAAGAAACAACAAAAGUUCAUAUACUUCGGUACAUCAUUCUUUUCAUUGGUGUCAUGAACAGCCUGUUUUCAGUUUAUGACAUAUAUGAUGAUCUGAUAUCUCGUAGAGAUCAUUCUAGUGAUGCAGAGAAAUUUGCCGAAGCAUGUCCAUGUCCAUGUAACGGUGCCGGAUGGGGAUUCAUAUGGGGGGUGAUAUCUUUCUUGUUUCUUUGUGGAGCCAUGUACCUUGGUCUUGUGAUAUUGUCUUGAGAUCUGAGAGGCUGCCUUCUAGUUGACAUACUUGCAGAUCUGAGAGAGGCUUUUCGCAAAUGAGAGGUUGAAGGUGGGGCAGUGGAAGGCGUCAAGCACCUGGACAUUUACAGAAGAAAUGCGUGCUAUGAUUUUUAUCACUUCAUCCCACGAGCCCUACAUUUAACAAAAAAUUACAUUUGCUUGUAGCAAAACAGCUGUAAAUUACUGUAUUUUCUAGAAAACUGGAAAAUUUUCUAAACAUAACUUAAAUAGACCAGCCAAAACAAGUUUUGGCGAAAAACAUUUAAAAGUCGACAACACGUUGCCUUCCUAGGCCUCAGUUACAGGAUAAUCGAACGCAACAUCCUAGCCAGAAAGCUUCCGGUAAACUGCAGAAAAGGUCUCCAACUCGUACUCUGUGCUGUUGUGUUCCUUUGGAUCCAAGAAAACCUGCGUGUAAUUAUGAUGCAGUUAGCAUGAGCCUGGAGUAAUCAGGCAAGUAUAUUUUUGCUA